CCAACGUAACCUCAGUGGAACUGUGGCUUCAUCGAGUUCCAGCUCUAGGCAGACAGCACAUCAGGAAGGCUGUAAGACAUCACAGAGACAGAUGCUUGGCUUUUUCUUGUUCUUGGAGGUUGGCUCUGAUGUUUCAACCUCUUCUGGAGCUUCUCGCUGCUGGCUGUCUGGCGCCUCCUGUUGGUUCUCUGGCCCCUCCUGCUGGUUCUCUGAACUCCCCUCCUGGUUCUCUGCCCAUGCCUGUUGCCUCCUUGGCCCCUCCUGCUGGCCAUCUCCAGAUGCAACAGGCUCUUGGCUUACUUGUUGGCCUGUCGCCCACCCCGGCAAUUCCUGACCUUGGUUGUAGUCGUGGCUGUGUUGGGUGGUUGGACACCGGGUGAUGUACUGGGUGCUGAACUUCUGGAUUUGCUCAUCAGCCUCCAGAUUAAUCUGCUCCAGGAGGGGGUAAGAAGACAGUCCCAGUAGGAGACGGAGAUCGUCCAGAAGAAGAAGAGCUGUCCAUCUCCUCAGAGGCUGCAGGAAAGGUCUACAAGUUUUAUUUCUGGAAAAUAAAGAGAUGCCUUCG